UGUUGACCUGUUCAGGAAUGUUCAGUGGUUUGACCUUCCUUCUACCCUUCCCUUUAGGAAACACACCAGUGGACAUUCAUUGUCUAGAUCUAGAAUCAUGGACAUGGUCUGAAAUAGUGCCAACGUCCACUGUGCCAGGGGGAAGGUCGUGGCACAGCCUCACUGCCAGUAUCUGAUAACACUUUGUUUCUCUUUGGUGGCCUGAAUGUGGACUGCAAACCAAUGAGUGAUGGAUGGGUUUUAGACGUUGACACAAAGACAUGGAGGG